UACGGGGGGAGCAAGCGUUGUUCGGAUUUACUGGGCGUAAAGGGCGCGUAGGCGGCCACCGCAAGUCGUCUGUGAAAUCUCCGGGCUUAACCCGGAAAGGUCAGCCGAUACUGCGGGGCUAGAGUGCAGAAGGGGCAACUGGAAUUCUCGGUGUAGCGGUGAAAUGCGUAGAUAUCGAGAGGAACACCUGCGGCGAAGGCGGGUUGCUGGGCUGACACUGACGCUGAGGCGCGAAAGCUAGGGGAGCGAACGGG
rnacentral:rRNA from 1 species